rnacentral:tmRNA from 1 species
CCCCUUUUCAUCGGCCUGCGAAAGACUUAUAUCACUCGUGCCGGGGCUUGCUCCGGCUAUGGCAAUAAACGGUCGGUGUAAUAAACCUAUUGGACCCGGGGGCGGUACCCGGCGCCUCCACCAAAAACCGGUCGGUCUUCCUGCACAGGGUCAGACCGGCUUUUGAUGGGGGCGAAAUAGGAUCGACAAGGGCGUAAAGAUCGAACUUUUGCUCGGCAUGAUACCGCCGUUAUCGGGUCACAAGUGUAGUUGCAAACGACAACAACGCUAAGGAAUACGCUCUCGCUGCCUAAUGGCGGUGCGGGAAUUCCGCUCUAAGUCCUCUUGGUUAGCCCCUUGAGGCGGGGUCCGAAGGCACCUGGCAACAGAAGCCUUCACC